AUCUAAUUAGUGAUGCACAUGAAUGGCUGAACGAGUUUCCCCUGCCCCACCUACUCUCUAGUGAAUACACAGCCAAGUGAACGGGCUUGGAGGAAUCAGCUUGGAAAGAAGACCCUGUUGAGCUUGACACUAGUCUGGCAUUGUGAAGAGACAUGAGAGGUGUAGAAUAAGUGGGAGGCCCCCGGUGGCCCCCUGUUUACCGUUAGGGGGCGGGGCAUUGUCCGCCUGCCUUGCGGGCUGCCGGUGAAAUACCACUACACUGAUCAUUUUUUCACUGACCUGGUGAGGCUGGGGAGCGGGCCCCGAGGGGCUCUUGCUUCUGGCACCAAGCGCCCAGCUGCACGCUGGCCGGGCAUGACCCGCUCCGGGGACAGUGCCAGGUCCGGAUUUUGACUGGGGCGGUACACCUGUCAAACAGUAACGCAGGUGUCCUAAGGCGAGCUCAGGGAGGACAGAAACCUCCCGUGUAGCAGAAGGGCAAAAGCUCACUUGAUCUUGAUUUUCAGUGCGAAUAUAUACCAUUAAAGUGGGGCCUCACUAUCCUUCUGAUCUUUGGGGUUUUAAGCAGGAGGUGUUGGAAAAGUUACCACAGGGAUUACUGGCUUGUGACGUCCAAGCGUUCAUAGUGAUAUCGCUUUUUGAUCCUUCAAUGUCUGCAAUUCCUAUCAUUGUGAAGCAGAAUUCACCAAGCGUUGGAUUGUUCACCCACUAAUAGGGAACGGGAGCUGGGUUUAGACCGUCGUGAGAC
rnacentral:rRNA from 1 species